AGUGAACGCUGGCGGUAGGCCUAACACAUGCAAGUCGAACGGCAGCACAGUAAGAGCUUGCUCUUACGGGUGGCGAGUGGCGGACGGGUGAGGAAUACAUCGGAAUCUACUUUUUCGUGGGGGAUAACGUAGGGAAACUUACGCUAAUACCGCAUACGACCUACGGGUGAAAGCAGGGGAUCUUCGGACCUUGCGCGAUUGAAUGAGCCGAUGUCGGAUUAGCUAGUUGGCGGGGUAAAGGCCCACUAAGGCGACGAUCCGUAGCUGGUCUGAGAGGAUGAUCAGCCACACUGGAACUGAGACACGGUCCAGACUCCUACGGGAGGCAGCAGUGGGGAAUAUUGGACAAUGGGCGCAAGCCUGAUCCAGCCAUACCGCGUGGGUGAAGAAGGCCUUCGGGUUGUAAAGCCCUUUUGUUGGGAAAGAAAAGCAGCAGGUUAAUACCCCGCUGUUCUGACGGUACCCAAGGAAUAAGCACCGGCUAACUUCGU
rnacentral:rRNA from 1 species